UGAAAUUAGGACAUUAACUGGGCCGUUGGGUGAGCACACACAGGGUUCCUUCCACUGGCCUAGAAAUGGCCUCCUCUGGCUAGAGAGCUCCUAAUAGGAGAAGAGACCUUGUCCUAGCCCAGUCAUGACUGGAGCCCACUCUGAUGACUCUGGGGUAGCCUGGGCUGGACUGACUGCUUUAUCCUUAGGUCUCCAGGAGUGGUGACAGCAGUGGUGGAUAAACUGGACAAGGAGGCAUUUCAGAAGCUCCAUGCAGAAGACAACCCCUAACUCCAGAUGACUGAUUCUCUCACAAAUAAAAGGACAAAGAGAAUGCUGACUUUGCUUUUAGAGAACCAAACAGACUUUGGUGCCAGAAGUGGUUCUAGAGCAACAGAAGUAUAAGGAUG
rnacentral:lncRNA from 1 species